UACGUAGGGUGCAAGCGUUAAUCGGAAUUACUGGGCGUAAAGCGUGCGCAGGCGGUGAUGUAAGACAGAUGCGAAAUCCCCGGGCUCAACCUGGGAAUGGCAUUUGGGACUGCAAGGCUGGAGUGCGGCAGAGGAGACUGGAAUUCCUGGUGUAGCAGUGAAAUGCGUAGAUAUCAGGAGGAAUACCGAUGGCGAAGGCAGGUCUCUGGGCUGACACUGACGCUCAUGCACGAAAGCGUGGGGAGCAAACAGG
rnacentral:rRNA from 1 species